GCGGUCGGUAUCUAGAAACCCCUCAAAAGUUGCAUGCACAGCAGCAUAGCAACACUCGAAACGUACCGAAUCUACAGUGAUCUCCCUACCUUGACUCGUCUUGGCUCCCACCCGCGGCCUUUGCACUAUCACCUUCAUUCAACACAUUGGAGGAUUGCGCGGCAUUAAAGAAGACGACGAGAUAGAGGAUGACUUGCGAAUACGACAACGAAGAUAGGGGAUAGUUCUUUGCGCGCUGUGUGGAAGCUCCAUCAUCAGCCCAGAGCUACACGCCAGAGUCAUUACCAGAUUCAGGUCCGGGGACCAGCCCCUUGGUGUCACCGCUUAUCCAGAUUUCCCCGCAAAACGGAGCAGACGGGCAGACGAAUGAAAAACGAAGGAGAGAACUAAAAGAUAUAGAGAGAAAGGAAAAGACAAGAGAACGAGUGGGAAAAAAAUAAAAUAAAAAGACAGGACUUCGCUGGUCUACCGUCAUCGACAGGAGCAAAGUGAAAGCCAGGCACAUGCGCAAGCACUCAACCGCAAAAACAGGCAAGACCCCGGACCAGAGAGAGCUCGAGGCCCACUCGUUUGCUUCUUUCUGAUUGCCCCGUCGAGCAAAGGAAGCUACGGGGAUCCACACCAGAAGAGGUCGGGUACUCGCUUGUUGGCUGAAAUCUGCCGGAUUGGCGAUGAGGGUGGACUAGCUGCAAAUUCCAUUUACUUUUCUCUUCCGCACUCAACGCUGAUUGACCGUCUCUUUUCUCCCCCCAAAGCUGGUCACUUGGUUCGACGACGAGACAAACCGACCACAGAGAAAAAAAGACGCCAGG